GAUGAAGAACGCAGCGAAAUACGAUAAGUAAUGUGAAUUGCAGAAUUCAGUGAAUCAUCGAAUCUUUGAACGCAUCUUGCGCUCCUUGGUAUUCUGAGGAGCAUGCCUGUUUGAGUGUCAUUAAAUUCUCAACUACACUGACUUUGAAUUGGUGUGGCUUGGAUUUGGGGGGAAAAUUGUUGUGGGCUUUUUGUAUAGUCUGCUCCCCUGAAAUUGAUUAGCGGUACCUUUGUGGAACUGUCUACAGGUGUGAUAAUUAUCUACAUCUUAGACAUCUGCUGGAAUGCUGCUUUCUAAACCUUACUUGUAUUGACAAUCUUGACCUCAAAUCAGGUAGGACUACCCGCUGAACUUAAGCAUAUCAAUAAGCGGAGGA
rnacentral:misc_RNA from 1 species